rnacentral:rRNA from 1 species
GACGAACCGUGCGAACGUUGUUCGGAAUCACUGGGCUUAAAGGGCGCGUAGGCGGGCGGCCGAGUCCGGGGUGAAAUCCUGCAGCUCAACUGCAGAAGUGCCCCGGAUACUGGCCGCCUCGAGGGAGGUAGGGGCAUGUGGAACUUCCGGUGGAGCGGUGAAAUGCGUAGAUAUCGGAAGGAACGCCGGUGGCGAAAGCGACGUGCUGGACCUCUACUGACGCUGAGGCGCGAAAGCCAGGGGAGCGAACGGG